rnacentral:piRNA from 1 species
GUUUAGGUAAGGUGGAGUGAUGA